AUGAAAACUCAGGUCGAGAUGCGGAAAUCGGCGACUUUGGACGCAACUAUGGACUUAGCAAUCUCCUUUGAGCACCUCAAUACUGUCACCAGCACCGCGACCACUCUGGGCCGGCCCAGCCGUCCACUCCGCCCCAUGGCUGCACCUACUUCCGCCUUGCCGGACUCCUCCAACCCCACGCCCGCGCUCGUCUUUAAAAGACUCACGCCCGCCGAGAUGGAUGAACGCGCGCUAAGGGUCUCUGCUUCAAUUGUGACGAGAAGUUCGCGCGGGGCCAUCGCUGCAAACGACUGUUCUACAUUCAAUCCGCCGACGCCGAAGUGGAGCAGUUUGAGGAUUUCCAAGAAGCACAAAUCUCACUCUUGGCUGUUACCGGAAUUCCCACCAGCGACACAAUGCAGGUCACUCUUCGCAUCAGGGACCGUGACUUGGUCGCCUUGCUUGAUUCAGGCAUCACUCAUAACUUCAUCCACGAAGAGCUGGCCACCAUCGUCGGGCUGCCUUUCUCCUCCAAUCGUCGUUUGA
rnacentral:rRNA from 1 species